rnacentral:SRP_RNA from 1 species
UUUACUAUGGCAAGCCGGUACGGCUAGCUCCUACUAAAUCCCCCAGGCCUGGAAAGGAACAAGGGUAAAGUGGUUGCAGCAGCGCGAUACUCGGCUUGUUUUUUU